GGGGGGGGGGGACGUCUGGAUGGCUGGAGCCCACCCUCCAGUGACUUCCCAGCGCCUUCUGGAUGAAGUCUUAACUCCGCGGGGCCUACAAAGCUGGAAUAAGCAGGCCUUUGCCUCACCUUUGCAGCCUCACCUCUUUCUCUUCAAACCCCCAUCUCCCACUCUCUUCCCUGCGCCUCCAUUUUCAUGUCUUUAACAUGUGUUGGUCUAUUUGUAACAUCGGUACAACCGCACAGUAGUUUUAAUUUACACACGCGGUGUUCUGUUCUAUACCUUCUUAAUCUUGUUCUGCCCUUACCUCUGCACUCCCAACCCUGCCCUUGAUAACUGCACUCCAGCCCUGAUUGCCAGUAGUCAGUUCUUGGGGUGUGUCCUGCUCAUCCUGAUUUAAACUUUCAAAGAUGCUAAUCUCCAGCCUGGUUUGCACCCACUUAUAUAUAUGGCUUCUUUAUGCAUUUCCAUGUGAGUUGUCUGUGAGCACUGGGAGGGCAGGGACCAUACCUGACUAGCCUUUCUGCUUGUGCUCCUUAAGAACAAAAAAGGUAUUGAAUAAAUUGUCUAUGGGGUAAAUGUCUAUCAAGAGCUGGGGCUCAAGGAGAGGUCAAGGCUGAAGUGGGGAUGGAAGACACCUGGUAAGUUGAAGCUCUGGGUGUGGCUGAGACAGCCCUGGAAGGAGUUGAUAAGCUACAGAGCUGAGCGUCCUUUGCUGGAGGUGACUCAACCCUUAGGGCUACUAGGCAGGUGGCUACCCACCCACUCCCACCCCCCUCAAAUAUUUAGCUGCACUGUCUCCUAAGUCUGCUAGGUUGUAGACCUUGCUGGUCCCAAGGAAUCAUUUCUUCCAGUUCUUUUCUGUGUGUGUCUAUCUGUCCCUAUCUCAAGUCUUCCAGUUUGUAAAGUGGGAGCAUUAGACCUGAGAACACCAUCACCUUCAACAUUCCUUGAGUUAGUUUCUAGAAGAUGCUGCCUGCUGAUCAGAGAACUGGGCAGGGUUGAGCCCUAGAGUUAAUGAGGGUCUCUGGUUGUCUCAGUUGCAUCUGCUUGGCUGUGUAUGAGGGAAACCAGACAGAACAGAGACGAGGGCAGGGAGUUGGCAAGGGCUGGAGUCAGGGCUUAGAGCAGGGAGCCCAAUGGUUGAUAGGAUUUGGGAGGCAGGAAGAGAAGGAAAAAAUAAGGGAAAAUAUAGGAGAAUAAAACGAAUCAAAUAAGUGAUGUGUUUUCUCUAGAAAAGCAUCUCCCUGUCCUGGGAUGGGCUCACCAGAUGUUCCCCAGAUGUUUGCUGAUGAUGAGAAACAUCUUCCUCUGGGAUCACAAAGAAAAAAGCACUUCUGUCCACUGAAAGACACAAGAGUGUUACAGCAGCUUUAUCCAUAACAGCUUGAAAUUGGAAACAACAUAAAUGUCCAGUAGCUUACAGGAUCUGAUGUGAAGAGGAUGCAAAAAGUCUCAGGGGGCUUCCUGCCACUAUUUGACAAAGUUUCAUAAGAGAUGAUGCCUCUGGGACUAAAGGAGAUGAUUACCAACUAACAAAAUUCCAUUUUCAGAUGCUGGAGAUACAAAAAGAAGCAAAGAAGUGGUUGGUGUGGAGAUGACAUUCCAGUGGAGGAAGACUUGGCUGUGGAGAUGGCACUUUCCAAAGACGAUCACCUCUU